ACAGAUGCUCAAGGCACUGGAUGUGCUUGUGAAGGCGACCUCGGUAUUCUGCGAGUUUUUCUAAUAGGAACGGUUCUUUCGGACCUUGAGAAACAUGCAAGAUAAUGUACCUGUGUUCGAUCCAAACGAAAACCCAAUGCGAUGACGGUGCAUGGGUCUGGGAAACUCGCGCUUUUCGCUGGUACUUCAUUCAACGACACUGUAUCCCUGGGUAUCGGCUUUGGGAUAUCGCGCGAGUGGGUGUCAUGUUCGAGUAAAGUAGCGGUACAGGCGAGGACCUAUUGCCUUCGCUUUUCAGGGCCGAGCGUGGUCGCGACUCGGUUGCGGCGACUGGGCGAACCGCUGAGAGCCUGUGCCCUCAGCUCACCUAGGACGCUGGGUUGGAGGCGUCGGACGCCCACUUGCGAGAAACGCACCGGAAACGAGCAAAAAGCCUCCUUCCAUCGUAGCGUGUAAUCAAGCCUCUGAUGCAGCUCUAUGGGAACGUGGUUUGCCGAGCCAGCGCACGUUCGAUGAGUCAUCGACACAGUGGCCGUGCGGGCACCUGGGCAGGUAGCGCUCGCGCAGGUCCAUGCUUUGUAUCCUCUUGCUUUUGAAGCGUAUCCUGCUUCGAAUGGAACGGUUUCGAAAGUGCAACAUAUGUGGGCGACUUGAAGUGCAAAUUUUUCCAUGAGGAAACAAGCGAUAUGCUUCAAGAUGGUGUUCCAAACGCAGAUGCCGCAAGACGCUUUGCAAGCGCGUUCUUCGUGGACAUACUGAUUCGCUGCAGGGCAGGAGUCGCUGCAUACUUGCCGUCCCUACAAGCCGGUGAGUACAACUGUUCCCGUUGCUGCUGGUAUGGCGGCUGCAUACGACCGUUUUUCACCAUACCAAGUUCGUCGACAGCGUUUCACAACGCAAGAGACACGACUCGGGUAAGACUUUUGUUCCAGAGCGCGCGUUCCGGGAGCCGAAUGUUCGGGGAGAGGGCGCCACGAAUCCCAUGCGGAUGUCUGUGGCGUUCCGGCGUUUUUCGAUCACGGGUAUCGCACUAGUGCAUACCCGAGAAAUACAAGUCGAGUCUGGAUGAUUCGUUGCUGCAUUGGUUACACCGCUGGCAACCAGCGGUAUCUUUAUUGAAGGCCCCUUUCUUACACGAGCGAGACGCUAUGCAGAUACUCUUGAUUUUUGUCAAAACAAGCUAGGAGGUCGUGUAUCGUUGGAAUGAACGCAUCCCAAGCCACAUACCCGUACGACAAGGAAAACUGCGCUGAUCAAGCAUCCGCGUUCAGAGGCAUUCGAACGCGACAAUGAGAAGGCUCUCGAUAUGACGCAACCCAGUGGCUGUGUCGCGGGCAUCGUGUUCUGCGGCCCGGGGGGCGCUCAGCGUGGACGGCAGUUGGAACGGACCGCUUCGAGGAAUCCGAGCCGUCGCCGACUCGCAACAUCGUCGCUACAUAAACCCAUGUGAUCGUUU